rnacentral:rRNA from 1 species
GAUGAACGCUGGCGGCGUGCCUAAUACAUGCAAGUCGAGCGAACGGACGGGAAGCUUGCUUCUCUGAUGUUAGCGGCGGACGGGUGAGUAACACGUGGAUAACCUACCUAUAAGACUGGGAUAACUUCGGGAAACCGUAGCUAAUACCGGAUAAUAUUUUGAACCGCAUGGUUCAAAAGUGAAAGACGGUCUUGCUGUCACUUAUAGAUGGAUCCGCGCUGCAUUAGCUAGUUGGUAAGGUAACGGCUUACCAAGGCAACGAUGCAUAGCCGACCUGAGAGGGUGAUCGGCCACACUGGAACUGAGACACGGUCCAGACUCCUACGGGAGGCAGCAGUAGGGAAUCUUCCACAAUGGGCGAAAGCCUGACGGAGCAACGCCGCGUGAGUGAUGAAGGUCUUCGGAUCGUAAAACUCUGUUAUUAGGGAAGAACAUAUGUGUAAGUAACUGUGCACAUCUUGACGGUACCUAAUCAGAAAGCCACGGCUAACUACGUG